UACGAAGGGGGCUAGCGUUGUUCGGAUUUACUGGGCGUAAAGCGCGUGUAGGCGGGUCGUUAAGUUGGGGGUGAAAUCCCGGAGCUCAACUCCGGAACUGCCUCCAAAACUGGCGACCUGGACCCAAGUAGAGGCAAGUGGAAUUCCGAGUGUAGAGGUGAAAUUCGUAGAUAUUCGGAGGAACACCAGUGGCGAAGGCGACUUGCUGGACUUGUGGUGACGCUGAGACGCGAAAGCGUGGGGAGCAAAC
rnacentral:rRNA from 1 species